rnacentral:lncRNA from 1 species
CGCCUCUUCCAUCGCAGUCCACGGCACAGGUCCGCGUAGUCCAUCCAUCCACGCCCUUCAGUCCUUCACGGGGGAGGCCGCUACGCCGCGAGGAAGAGACGGCGGCGAGAGAGGGAGGAGGAGGAGGAGGAGGAGGAGGGGGCGAGGAAGAUGGAGCACGUGAUCGAGGUCGAGCCGGGCCGCCCGGCCGCCGACCGCCGGCCC